AUGGCGGCCGCCUGCUGCGUCCUCGUCGACUCCGGCGCCUACAUCGACGACACCAACGACAGCACCAACGAGAGCACGGCCCAAACGUUUACUAGCAGAGGCAAUCAGAUCGUGGUUUCCUUAUGGCCUGCUCACCCGCCGAUACCCUCCCGUCUCUCCGUGCACGGUCUCCUCUUGCAUCCCGGCGAAGACUUCUUCCAGGAACCCAAGAUCCUUUGCGCAGCAGACGGCUUCUUCGUCCUCCGCACCGCCAUCGGCCGCGGCCCCCCACCCUUCAACAUCACGCAGAAGAUGAGCGACUACUUCGUCUACCAGCCAGCCAGCUCCACAUGGGGAGGCCCGUCGCUGCGGCUCCUCGCUCACCCUCACCCUCACUUAUUCACAGACAAUGUGGUUGGCGUCCUCCCCCGCGGCGGCGGCGGCCACUUCACCAUCGCCGUGCUGUCUCAAGCCUCGUAUUACAAGUUCGUGCUCUACCUGUUCAAGUCCGAGGACUGGUGUUGGACCUCCAAGAAGGUGCUGGUGGACUCGCCGCGGAUACCCUUCCCCAUGCCGCUCCCCCCUGACGAUGUCCAUGGCCACUUUCAGCAUCUUACCAACUCGGUCAUCACCAUCGGGAGCAGGGGACUCGUUGGCUGGGUUGAUCUCUGGCACGGAAUACUGCUCUACGACGUGCUCCGUGACGACAACGACAAAAUCCGCCUUGUACCGCUGCCGGUAAGGCCGGGAAGCCAUGGCGGCAAGGCGCUUGAGUGCUGUCCAAAGCCUUACCGAAGCGUCGCUGUCGUGGGGGAUUGCCUCAAGUUUGUCGAGCUGGAAGCCUUCGGCGAUCGUCUUCCUGGUAAAGACCCUGAAACCGGGGGCCCCAAGCUCAGAAUUGAUGACUGGGCGCUCACCACAUAUAGUACCAACUGCAACAUCACCGGCAAUCCCCCCGAGGACUGGAAAAUCGACUUCACCGUCAAUGCAUCCGCCGUCCGGAUUGACACGACAAUGCGGUCUGGAUUGGUUCGCUGCGGAAUGCUGCUGCGUAACAAUGAUGAGGCUGCUGCAGAGAGAAACUUGCAAAAUCUCUGGACAUAUCAGCCUGUUGUCAGCCUGAAUGAUGAUGAAGGUGCUGUUGUUUAUCUCAUCUCCAGGGUCAAAUUCCGGCACCCUAAGGCAUGGCUUCUUGCUCUUGACAUGGCCAACAACCAAGUACAAGCAAUGGCUAUGAUUGAAACUGAAAGGAGCACCGCCUUGUCCCUCAACUAUUUUCCUUGUAGGAUCUCAUCUCCAGCUACCUGA
rnacentral:rRNA from 1 species